GGGAAUGUGGCAUAGUGGUAGAGUGCUUGCCUAACAUGCAUGAAGCCCUGGGUUCGAUUCCUCAGUACCA
rfam:Dipodomys ordii contig_31539, whole genome shotgun sequence.